AGUCGAGCGGAAGGCCCGUUUCGGGGGUACUCGAGCGGCGAACGGUGUGAGUAAUCACGCUGUAUGCUCAUAUCUGCCCUGGACUCUGAGGAUAGGCACACUCGGAAACGGUGAUUAACUACCGGAUAUUACUGCUACAGGCAUCUGAUUGGUGGUGGAAAGUUUUUUCUGGUCCAGGAUGUGCUCGGCGCGCCUAUCAGGCUAUGUAUGGUGAGGUAGAUGGUCGUACACCAAUGGACUUUGACGGGUAGCCGGCCUGAGAGGGUGACCGGUCACACUGGGACUGAGACACGGCCCAUACUCCUACGGGAGGCAGCAGUGGGGAAUAUUGGACAAUGGGCGGAAGCCUGAUCCAGCAACGCCGCGUGAGGGAUGACGGCCUUCGGGUUGUAAACCUCUUUCAGUACCGACGAAGCGCAAGUGACGGUAGGUACAGAAGAAGGACCGGCCAACUACGUGCCAGCAGCCGCGGUAAUACGUAGGGUCCGAGCGUUGUCCGGAAUUAUUGGGCGUAAAGGGCUCGUAGGCGGUUUGUCGCGUCGGGAGUGAAAACCAUGGGCUUAACUCAUGGCUUGCUUCCGAUACGGGCAGACUAGAGGUAUGCAGGGGAGAAUGGAAUUCCUGGUGUAGCGGUGAAAUGCGCAGAUAUCAGGAGGAACACCGGUGGCGAAGGCGGGUUCUCUGGGCAUUACCUGACGCUGAGGAGCGAAAGUGUGGGGAGCGAACAGGAUUAGAUACCCUGGUAGUCCACACCUGUACACGUUGGGCGCUAGUGUGGGGCUAU
rnacentral:rRNA from 1 species